rnacentral:rRNA from 1 species
UACGUAGGGUGCGAGCGUUAAUCGGAAUUACUGGGCGUAAAGUGUGCGCAGGCGGCCGCGCAAGUCGAGUGUGAAAGCCCCGGGAUUAACUUGGGAAUUGCGCUCGAAACUACGUGGCUGGAGUGUGGCAGAGGAAGGUGGAAUUCCAGGUGUAGCGGUGAAAUGCGUAGAGAUCUGGAGGAACACCGAUGGCGAAGGCAGCCUUCUGGGCCAACACUGACGCUCAUGCACGAAAGCGUGGGGAGCAAACAGG